rnacentral:rRNA from 1 species
UCAGUCGGCCCUUACGGCCAGGGCUACACACGUGCUACAAUGGGGCGUACAGAGAGCUGCGAUACCGCGAGGUGGAGCCAAUCUCUUAAAGCGUCUCUCAGUUCGGAUUGUUCUCUGCAACUCGAGAACAUGAAGCUGGAAUCACUAGUAAUCGCAGAUCAGCUAUGCUGCGGUGAAUACGUUCCCGGGUCUU